ACCGUUAAAUCGUGAUUUUUUGUUUUAUAACCGUCGAAAAGUUUUGUCUCAUUACUUGAUCUCUGAAUGUUUUUUUUUGUGAUUUUUGGCGUAUGCGAUCUCGAAGAAUAUACAAACAAGUUUGACGGUUGGAUCGUUAAAAUUAGUUUCAUAGAAUUUUCAUAGAAUUCGUAUCCCAUCAAAACAAUAGAUUCACUAACACUUAGAGUUUAUUUAUACUUUCAUUAAGUAUAACAUAAGAUUUUGUGGUAUCCACUUGUGUAAAUAUUUUAAAUUGACGAUCAAAUUCAUUCAUUGUAUUCGUAUAGGGUCAAGGAGUGUAGUUGUAAAAAAUCAUCAAAAUCGGAGUUAAAAAUAACCGUUAAAUCGUGAUUUUUUGUUUUUAUAACCGUCGAAAAGAUUUGUCUCAUUACUUGAUCUCUGAAUGUUUUUUUUUGUGAUUUUUGGCGUAUGCGAUCUCGAAGAAUAUACAAACAAGUUUGACGGUUGGAUCGUUAAAAUUAGUUUCAUAGAAUUUGUAUCUCAUCAAAACAAUAGAUUCACUAACACACAGAGUUUAUUUAUACUUUCAUUAAGUAUAACAUAAGAUUUUGUGGCAUCCACUUGUGUAAAUAUUUUAAAUUGACGAUCAAAUUCAUUCAUCGUAUUCGUAUAGGGUCAAGGAGUGUAGUUGAAAAAAAUCAUCAAAAUCGGAGUUAAAAUAACCGUUAAAUCGUAAUUUUUUGUUUUAUAACCGUCGAAAAGUUUUGUCUCAUUACUUAAUCUAUGAAUGUUUGUUUUUUGUGAUUUUUGGCGUAUGCGAUCUCGAAGCAUAUACAAAAACGUUUGAAGGAUGUAUCGUUAAAAUUAGUUUCAUAGAAUUCGUAUCCCAUCAAAACAAUAGAUUCACUAACACUUAGAGUUUAUUUAUACUUUCAUUAAGUAUAACAUAAGAUUUUGUGGUAUCCACUUGUGUAAAUAUUUUAAAUUGACGAUCAAAUUCAUUCAUUGUAUUUGUAUAGGGUCGAGGAGUUUAGUUGUAAAAAAUCAUCAAAAUCGGAGUUAAAAUAACCGUUAAAUCGUGAUUUUUUGUUUUAUAACCGUCAAAAAGUUUAUUCUCAUUACUUGACCUCUAAAUGUUUUUUUUUGUGAUUUUUGGCGUAUGCGAUCACGAAGAAUAUACAAACAAGUUUGACGGUUGGAUCGUUAAAAUUAGUUUCAUAGAAUUCGUAUCUCAUCAAAACAAAUGAUUCACUAACACACAGAGUUUAUUUAUACUUUCAUUAAAUAUAACAUAAGAUUUUGUGGCAUCCACUUGUGUAAAUAUUUUAAAUUGACGAUCAUAUUCAUUCUUCGUAUUCAUAUAGGGUCAAGGAGUGCAGUUGAAAAAAAUCAUCAAAAUCGGAGUUAAAAUAGCCGUUCAAUCAUAAUUUUUUGUUUUAUAACCGUCGAAAAGUUUUGUCUCAUUACUUGAUCUCUGAAUGUUUGUUUUUUGUGAUUUUUGGCGUAUGCGAUCUCGAAGCAUAUACAAACAAGUUUGACGGUUGGAUCGUUAAAAUUAGUUUCAUAGAAUUCGUAUCCCAUCAAAACAAUAGAUUCACUAACAUUUAGAGUUUAUUUAUACUUUCAUUAAGUAUAACAUAAGAUUUUGUGGUAUCCACUUGUGUAAAUAUUUUAAAUUGACGGUAAAAUUCAUUCAUUGUAUUCGUAUAGGGUCAAGGAGUUUAGUUGCAAAAAAUCAUCAAAUUCGUAGUGAAAAUAACGGUUAAAUCGUGAUUUUUUGUUUUAUAACCGUCGAAAUGUUUUAUCUCAUUACUUGAUCUCUGAAUGUUUGUUUUUUGUGAUUUUUGGCGUAUGCGAUAUCGAAGUAUAUACAAACAAGUUUGACUGUUGGAUCGUUAAAAUUAGUUUCAUAGAAUUCGUAUCCCAUCAAAACAAUAGAUUCACUAACACUUACAGUUUAUUUAUAGUUAAUAUUUUGGGAGUAUAAUUAUUAUAGUAUAUAUAAUUAUUAUAAUUAUU
rnacentral:lncRNA from 1 species